rnacentral:rRNA from 1 species
GACGAACGCUGGCGGCGUGCUUAACACAUGCAAGUCGAACGAAAAGAGGGAAAGAGCUUGCUCUUUCCGGAAUUGAGUGGCAAACGGGUGAGUAACACGUAGACAACCUGCCUUCAGGAUGGGGACAACAGACGGAAACGACUGCUAAUACCGAAUAAGUUCCAAGAGCCGCAUGGCCCAUGGAAGAAAAGGUGGCCUCUACCUGUAAGCUAUCGCCUGAAGAGGGGUUUGCGUCUGAUUAGCUGGUUGGAGGGGUAACGGCCCACCAAGGCGACGAUCAGUAGCCGGUCUGAGAGGGUGAACGGCCACACUGGAACUGAGACACGGUCCAGACUCCUACGGGAGGCAGCAGUGGGGAAUCUUCCGCAAUAGGCGAAAGCCUGACGGAGCAACGCCGCGUGAGUGAUGACGGCCUUCGGGUUGUAAAACUCUGUGAUCCGGGACGAAAAGGCAGAGUGCGAAGAACAAACUGCAUUGACGGUACCGGAAAAGCAAGCCACGGCUAACUACGUG